CGCCCAGACUUUUUUGCUGGUGAAGAAGUUGAGAGGCUAGCUAUGACCGAGCUAAUAGAGGUCAUUUCAGAAGAGAACAAAUCUGGACCUCUGAUUGUGUUACUUAAGGAUGUAGAGAAAUCAUUCAUUGGAGUUACCGAGUCACUUUCAUCUUUGCGGAGCAAAUUUAAUCGCUUCCAUCUGGUGUUCUUAUUAUAGGAUCCCACACUCAGAUCUAAAUAAUUAAAUUUACAUGAUGAAGCUCUACUUACAGAUUGGAAGCAGCAGUUGGAUCGUGAUGUUGAAACCCUUAAAGCCAAAUCAAACAUUGGUAGCAUUCGCACGGACUGAGAUUGAUGGAUAUUGUGAAGGUGAACUAAUCAAGGUACCUUUGAUCUUUUAGGGAGUCAGCGGCCUUGCAAUCCCCCUCUGCAACCAUAAGAAUUUUUGUGUGCUACAGAUUUAGUACUGAUGAAUCCCUCUAUGAAGUUCCAAACAGCUGCACAAAUCUUAAGGUGUGCCUCUCUUAUUUUUUGCUGAAUCUCAAGCACUUUAGUUCGUGGUGCUUGCAAACAGCAAUUGCACUAGCAGACGUGAUGCUUUCAUUCUCUGUGAUAUUGUUUUCAGAGAGAGGUAGGAACAACAAUGGUCGUUGUUGCUGCACAAACAAAGGCUAUUGCUGGUAACUUUUACUUGUUAUAUUAUUUAAGCAUAUUAUAUAGACUAGACAUUUGCUACUUUGCUUUCUGAUCAUAUUAUGUUUUUGAUUUAUUCCUGCAUCUGUUCAAUAUAAAUAACCUGAUGGCUGCUGUAGAAAUUAAUCUGCAACUUAGUGUUGUUUCUUGACAGUACUCUUACAAGAUAGUGGUAAAAAUGUCCACUAUGUAAAAAAUUUGCUCUGAAAUGUUCUGGCCACCAU